rnacentral:lncRNA from 1 species
AUAAUCUAUUCUUGCUCUUUUCAAAGUGGAAGUUCCCUAAUAUUAUUCCACAAGCGUGUCCCAUGCAUCCUUGGCUGAACAACAUCCUUUCACGAGUUUAAACUGAUGAGAACUAAUUGUGUUAAAGAUCUCUGAUAGCUCUUUCGCAUUGAGUCUUGAUGCAACCUUUUCUGUCUUUGUCCAUUUAUUUUAGGCUUAGGUAUCUCUUCAUUCUCUUAAGUAAAGAUUGUUGGAUCUGUCCAUUCUGUUUCAAUCGCUGUCCAGACGUCUUCCUCAAUCCCUUUGAGUUUAUGUCUAAUGCGUACUUUGCAUUGCCCAAAGUUAUUUUCAUCUAACAUGAGUGAUUUAUGAGCCGCCACACACUCUGUUGUUUCCAUGUUCUCCACAGGACCUCAACCUGUUAUAGAUAUCUAGAUCUAGGUAGGUGACAUUCUCUGAUACCAAUUGUAAGAACAAAGAACACAUAAACACAAAAUACUAAUGAACAAGAUUCUCCAAAUAACGGUUGUCUUUUAUGAAAAAUCUCUUAAACAAAUUAAACUCUAUGUUUAAUCAGAUUUACUCGACUUCACAACUGUGAAUCGACACUGAUCAAUUUCUAAUCUACCCAACCU